GACAGAGGUGCCAAGCGUUAGGCGGAAUCACUGGGCUUAAAGCGUGUGUAGGCGGACUUGUAAGUACCUUGUGAAAUCCCACGGCUCAACCGUGGAACUGCUCGGUAUACUGCUUGUCUUGAGCCACUUAGGGGCUGUCGGAACAAACGGUGGAGCGGUGAAAUGCGUAGAUAUCGGAAGGAACAUCAGUGGCGAAAGCGACUUCCUGGACCAAUACUGACGCUCAUGUGCGAAAGCGUGGGGAGCAAACAGG
rnacentral:rRNA from 1 species